AUGGGGCUCCCGCCCCUUAGUCCCUCCUUAUAUGGGGAAGCGGGACGCGCUCGCCGCCCUUCCCCCACCCGCCGACGCGCGCGCGGGCCGGGCCCCGCCCCUCCGCCUCGGAGAGCGCGGGAAAAACAGCCCGCCUCCCCGCCCCCACCGGCCGUUCCCGCGCGGGGCCCCGGCCGUUGGGAGGGGCGGGAGGGGCCGGCGCGAGUGGAAAAUUCCAGGCGGGAGCGCGGCACGCGCGCGGCCCCGCGGCUCCUCCUGCCGGCGGGCGGGGGGCGGCGUGAGGCGGGCCGCGGGCCUCGCGGCUCCCCGGGCACGCCGCCAGCGCCGCACCGGCCCCGCCCUGGCACCUCCGGGGCACCUGCGGGGAGGGGAGGGGCCGGGCCGGCCGCGAGGCUCCGCGGGGCCGGGGUGAGGUGUGGGGGGGUGGAGGGGGGGGCGCCGGCCCCCGGUGCGCAUUGUUCUGGCGGCCCCGCUCCUCCGCCGGCCUCCGCCCUCCGUCCCUCCUCCGCCUCCCGCCCGUCCCCUCUCCCCUCCCUUCGCCAGGUCCCUCCUUUCCUCGUCACCCGGCGCUGUAUAAAUCCCCUCCGCCGCCGGAUUCCCCCCAUCGCGGCAGACCCUUGGUACUUUGGCCCCCGGGGCGGGAGCCGCGGCCGCAGCACCGCCGGGACCCGGAGCUCCUCGCCGCGCACCCCCACCACCGCUUCCCACCGCCCUCCGCCCCGCUACCCCCAGCGCCAGCAUGUCGGAGAAACGCGUCGAGGAGGCGCCGGCGGAGCUGAGCGCCAAGGAGAUGAAGGAGAAGAAGGAGAAGGUGGAGGAGAAAGCGGUCCACAAAGACAAGAAGAAGGAGGUGGUGGAGGUGAGGGCUGGUGCUGGGGGCGGCUCUGUGAGCCCCGGGGUCGCUGCGAGGGAUGGAGCCGAGGGGAGCGUGGGCGAUGCAGAAAGAAGAGCAGAACUCAUAAAGGAGAGGGGCAAAUGAAGAGCAAGCUGGCGGGUAAUUGUGGGGAACGAGCCUUGAAGGACUUAGCGCAGUCAGCACGACCUCGUGAGCUGAAAAAAAGAGAGGAGAGCAGAGACAAGCAGGAGUCAGGAGGAGGUGGCAGGGGGGAUGUGGUCCUGCGCCCACUCAGGCAUCCCGAGGUCCGUAAGGAAGUUAAGGCUGGAGGAACGGCCAGCAAGGAAAAGCACAGACUGAUGAAAGUCCAAGGCAGUGUGGUAGCAGAUGUAUUACGAGCACGCCGGAGAGAUGCUCGGAUUGCUGGGAUGGGACAGCAGCAGCCUGUCGGGAUGCGAGCUGGUGGGCGUCACGGAGGAUGA
rnacentral:lncRNA from 1 species